CCCUUAGAUGUUCUGGGCGGCCCGCGCACUACAUUGGCACUCUCAAUAAGUUCCUAGAUCUAAAACUUUGGGGUAUUCUAUUAAGUGGUGUCGUGACUGGGAUUAACCCUUGCAAUUAUUGGUUACGAACGAGGAAUUCCUUGUAAUCGCGGUUUAUCAGCCCGCGUUGAAUGCGUCCCUGCCCUUUGUACACACCGCCCGUCGCACCUACCGAUGAAUCGUCCGGUGAAGUUCAUGGAGUGGUGGUUGUUCCAGCUGCUGUCGAAGUGAAAUGGACCUCACGAUUUAGAGGAAGGAGAAGUCGUAACA
rnacentral:rRNA from 1 species